UACAGAGGGUGCGAGCGUUAAUCGGAAUUACUGGGCGUAAAGCGCACGUAGGCGGCUUGGUAUGUCGGGUGUGAAAUCCCCGGGCUCAACCUGGGAACUGCAUCCGAAACUGCCUUGCUAGAGUAUGGGAGAGGGAAGUGGAAUUUCCGGUGUAGCGGUGAAAUGCGUAGAUAUCGGUAAGAACACCAAAUGCGAAGGCAGCUUGCUGGAACAGUUCUGACACUCAGGGACGAAAGCGUGGGGAGCGAAUGGG
rnacentral:rRNA from 1 species